AAAAACACUCUCGGAAAGAGAUAUCUCGUCUCUCGUAUCUAAGAAAAACGCAGAAAAGUGAUAUACGUGGUGUGAUUUGCAGAAUCCCGCAAACCCUCGAGUCUUUGAACGCGAUUUGCGCCCAAACUCUUUCGGCAGAGGGCACCCGUGCGUGGGUGUCACG
rnacentral:rRNA from 1 species